GCCCUUGUAGUGUAGUGGUUUGAGUGUUGGACUGCAACUCUGGAAACCAGGAUUUGAAUCCCUGCUUGGCCA